CGAAGCCUCCCUACGCGAGCGAGAGACUCAGCACCUGGGCGCUGAACAGCUCCACACAGACCCACGGGCGGAGCCAGCCUCGGAGCGCGCAGCCUAUGGGCGCGCGCUGCGGCCGCUACCGCCGGCCCCCUCUCUCCGCCCCGCAGGCCUCAGCGGGCAGCGCCGCCUCGGGAGCCGAGCUGAGGAAUUGACUCCACCGCCGGAGCUGCGGUUCGCGGAUUGAUUCGGACUUAUGUCAGGAAUGGCUCCAGGAGUUCUGGUGGCAGUCUCCCCUGCUAGCACUGGACCAGUAAAGAAGGUGCAUCCAGGGAGUCAGGCUAAGGAGGUGGUCCUGUAGUGACGUGCAGCCCUACCAAAUGAGUUUCUUCUUGCGCCAAAUCCUAUUUAUCCUACUUUGGUAAUGGAUAGGCAGUAAUUGCUCCAAGGAGGCACGAUUUGCCCGUUAGCAACGGCUACUCCUCUUGCAAAAAUCCUGCUUUUCUUCUUCUAUAUAUACAUGGAAUCAAUCCAGCCACCCCUGAAGUGCAGCCAGCACUCAAGUGCAGCCAGCUCUGGAUUGAAAGAUGGCAGCUGUUGUGUAUUUUUGCUGUACAUUACUAAACAGCUUAGUUCUACAAAGGACAAACAAUUCAGAAAUAAAUAAUGUUGGUAUUUAUAUAAGAAAAAAAAAUAUCUAAUGCCAGGACAUCAGAGUUAGCACUUCAACCACUAUGAAACAUACCAGGGGUUUUUUAAUGACCACCAUUAGUUUUCUGUCUUGUCCAAAAGACACUUUGAAUUACCUGUUACAUCUCAGAAUACCUAUUUGAUUUCUCAAACAAGUUUCUUGCUGCCAGACCUACCCUUACAUUUCAUUUUAGUUCAGUAAAAUUGUCAAUGUAAUAGUAAAAAUACUUGUUAAUUUGAAAAUUAAGCAUUCAGAUAGCCACUUCAGUUGAACUAUAGCGAUAACCCUAACCAAUUGAAAUGUACAGAAUAAAUAUUGCCAACACUAAAUAGCCAAGAGCACUCUGCUGCUUAAUGUAGGGUGGAAUAAAAUGACUGCUGAGAGGGAGGGCCCAGUAAAGGGAGACUGGGGGUGACAAGAUAGUUAGGCAUAGAAGGAGCAAUUAGUUUCAACCAUAAUGGUAUUAAUUUGUAAGCAGAUGUAUUGUAUAACUUUGAUUAUAUUGUAUUUACU